GGUUAAGCGACUAAGCGUACACGGUGGAUGCCCUGGCAGUCAGAGGCGAUGAAGGACGUGCUAAUCUGCGAUAAGCGUCGGUAAGGUGAUAUGAACCGUUAUAACCGGCGAUUUCCGAAUGGGGAAACCCAGUGUGUUUCGACACACUAUCAUUAACUGAAUCCAUAGGUUAAUGAGGCGAACCGGGGGAACUGAAACAUCUAAGUACCCCGAGGAAAAGAAAUCAACCGAGAUUCCCCCAGUAGCGGCGAGCGAACGGGGAGCAGCCCAGAGCCUGAAUCAGUGUGUGUGUUAGUGGAAGCGUCUGGAAAGGCGUGCGAUACAGGGUGACAGCCCCGUACACAAAAAUGCACAUGCUGUGAGCUCGAUGAGUAGGGCGGGACACGUGGUAUCCUGUCUGAAUAUGGGGGGACCAUCCUCCAAGGCUAAAUACUCCUGACUGACCGAUAGUGAACCAGUACCGUGAGGGAAAGGCGAAAAGAACCCCGGCGAGGGGAGUGAAAAAGAACCUGAAACCGUGUACGUACAAGCAGUGGGAGCACGCUUAGGCGUGUGACUGCGUACCUUUUGUAUAAUGGGUCAGCGACUUAUAUUCUGUAGCAAGGUUAACCGAAUAGGGGAGCCGAAGGGAAACCGAGUCUUAACUGGGCGUUAAGUUGCAGGGUAUAGACCCGAAACCCGGUGAUCUAGCCAUGGGCAGGUUGAAGGUUGGGUAACACUAACUGGAGGACCGAACCGACUAAUGUUGAAAAAUUAGCGGAUGACUUGUGGCUGGGGGUGAAAGGCCAAUCAAACCGGGAGAUAGCUGGUUCUCCCCGAAAGCUAUUUAGGUAGCGCCUCGUGAAUUCAUCUCCGGGGGUAGAGCACUGUUUCGGCAAGGGGGUCAUCCCGACUUACCAACCCGAUGCAAACUGCGAAUACCGGAGAAUGUUAUCACGGGAGACACACGGCGGGUGCUAACGUCCGUCGUGAAGAGGGAAACAACCCAGACCGCCAGCUAAGGUCCCAAAGUCAUGGUUAAGUGGGAAACGAUGUGGGAAGGCCCAGACAGCCAGGAUGUUGGCUUAGAAGCAGCCAUCAUUUAAAGAAAGCGUAAUAGCUCACUGGUCGAGUCGGCCUGCGCGGAAGAUGUAACGGGGCUAAACCAUGCACCGAAGCUGCGGCAGCGACGCUGAUGCGUUGUUGGGUAGGGGAGCGUUCUGUAAGCCUGCGAAGGUGUGCUGUGAGGCAUGCUGGAGGUAUCAGAAGUGCGAAUGCUGACAUAAG
rnacentral:rRNA from 1 species